rnacentral:rRNA from 1 species
CCCUUAGAUGUUCUGGGCCGCACACGCGCUACACUGAAGGAGGCAGCGUGUACUCCUGGAUCGAAAGAUUUGGGUAACCCGCGAAUCUCCUUCGUGCUAGGGAUUGAGGUUUGCAAUUAUCCUUCAUGAACGGGGAAUUCCCAGUAAGUGCAAGUCAUAAGCUUGCGCUGACUACGUCCCUGCCCUUUGUACACACCGCCCGUCGCUACUACCGAUUGAAUGAUUUAGUGAGGACUUCGGACUGGGACCGAUGCGGCUUUCGGGCUGCGUCGGUAUUCUGGAAAGAUGUCCAAACUGUAUCAUUUAGAGGAAGUAAAAGUCGUAACA